rnacentral:lncRNA from 1 species
GCCCCCACUCACAUGACGGCGCACUGGGCGAAGGACAGGUAGUUCACCAGCACGUCCAGCCCCUUGUUCUCGUCAUUGAGGAACUCGCGCACCCAUCUACAGCGGGACACGGUGCUCAGCGCCGGGGGCACCCCAAGGCCACCACCCCACAGCAUGACCCCAAAGCCAGGACCCCAAAACCAGGACCUCAAAGCCAGGACCCCAAAGCUAGGACUCUAAAACCAGGACCCCAAAACCAGGACCCCAAAACCAGGACCCCAAAACCAGGACCCCAAAGUUAGGACCCCAAAACCAUGAUCCCAAAACCAGGACCCCAAUGCCAUGACUCAAACCCAUGAGCCCAAAGUCAUGAUCCCGGUGCCAGUACCGCAAAACCAGGACUCCAAAACCAGGACCCCAAAGCCAUGACCCCAAAACCAAGACCCCAAAACCAGGACUCCAAAACCAGGACCCCAAAGCCAGGACCCUACAAACCAGGACCCCAAAACCAGGACCCCAAAACCAGGACCCCAAAGCCAUGACCCCAAAGCCACGACCCCAAAGCCACGACCCCAAAGCCACGACCACAACACCAACAACCCUAAUGCCAAGACCCCAAAACCAGGACCCCAGCGCCACCCCCCCAAACCACGACCCCAAAGCCAGAAGCUCAAGGCCAUGACCCCAAAGUCACGACCCCGGCACAUUACCCCAACGCCGCGACCCGAACACCACGACCCCAAAGCCAGGACCCCAAAGCCACAACCUCUGCCCAUGGGGACAUUGGGACCGGCCCCACAAACGGGGGGAGGGCAGGUGGGGGCUCCCAGCCCCGGUGACAGUUGCAGCCCCCCACUAUCACCCCAUAGCAGCAGCACGGGGCGUUAUCUAUGGGGCGCAGGGAGGGAGCAGCACCACGUGGGAAACGGGGCCGCGCUCGGCAGCGGGAACCGGUGGCGAUGGGGUCUGUGUGGGGCAGGGGUGGGUGUGGGGUCGGCGUGGGGUGUGCAUGGGUGUAGGGUGCACGGGGUGUGCGUGGAUAUGGGGUGUGUGCAUGCAUGGGGUGCACGGGGUGCAUGGGGUGCAUGUGGAUAUGGGGUGUGUGCAUGCAUGGGGUGCAUGGGGUGCAUGCAUGGGGUGCAUACGGAUAUGGGGUGUGUGCAUGCAUGGGGUGCAUGGGGUGUGCAUG